rnacentral:lncRNA from 1 species
CGCGCGCUGUCCCCCGGAGGCGUCUGGGUGUGCGGAGCGCGCGCGCGCGGCUCGGAGGCGCACCUGUGAGGUGUCCCUUGAGGAGAGGGAGGGUGGGUGCGCGGAGCCCGCGGCCUGGGGCGCUUCAACCCCUCACUUGGAAGCGCCCCGCGUCCCAGCAGAGUCCGCCGAGCAUCCUACUCAGGUGAUGAGGAACCCUUCGCGCCCCGAGCGCAGAACGCCGCUGCCGCUGGACGCCUCCAUUGUUUGACCACAACAAGGGCCGGAUUCUCACCCAGCUCUGCUUGUACUCAGAGCCGAAGUUGUUUCUGGGCUCAGCUGUAAACGACUGCUCCCUUGAGGAAGCCAGAUCCAACAGAAACAGCCAGAGGGAGAGGGGCAGGAAGAGGCAGAUGAAUCAGACCUGCAAAUCCAAGAGAUACAUCUCUCUGGAAGAUAAGAGAGCUUCUUCCCCAAGAUCAAAAAAGGAGACUGGAGUGAGACUCAUGUAGGGAAUCCCCAGAAGGAAGGAUUGGCACACCUGGAACCCGAGGAGCUUGCUU